GGCGCUGCAGAGCGCCGUUACCGGGCCCCGGCCGGGCUGAGCGGCCGGGAGGGCCGCGCUCCGGCCUCACGACGUGCGAGCGCACGGUAGCGGCAGGCCGGCGGCAGCCGCGGGGCUAGCGCCCGUCAGGCCGCUGCUGCGGGCCGGGGGCACAGCGCCACGGGGGGAGGCCCGGCCUGCGGCUCCGCCGGCCGCCCGGGGACCCCACGGGCCGCUCCUGGCCUUGCUCCGCCGGGGCAGCGCGGUGCCGGCCUGCGCGCCGAGGGGCAGCGCUGCCCGCACGGGAGCAGCCGCCCGCAGCUGCUGCACAGCCUCGGCAAAACCACCCGGCACCAAGCGCGGGCAGCUUUUCGUCUGUGCGUGCAAAGGCCUUCAGCCCUUCUGGAAGGAUCGGUGCGUUUCAGAAGAUACACUGCUGCGUGAAGUCCCCCUACGUUCACCCACACAGUCUGAGCUUUGCGCCAGAUGUGUCCCAUUCGUGACAAGGCCUACAAUCAAAAAAACAAAACAGCCAAAGAGUGGUGGUAGCUUCAAGAUACAGUAAUAAUGUUGCAGAUACUGUCAAGUUUUAUUAAGUGAAAAAAUAAAGGAAGAAUCACCUCUAUUGGUAUUGCACAUGUACCACACAUGGGAUCAACUAUGAUAUCCGUGGGCUGUGGAUCACAGAGUCUGAGGAACAGAAGAAAAGACAGGAUGAGAAAAAGGAAUUUCUGUAAGGAAGAAAAACGGAACUUUAAUCACUCUGAUUCUACCCUUCUAACAAAAAAACUAUGUGAUUAUUUUGCUUAUAAAAUGGUAAUUAAUGAACAGAAGAAAUACUUUCAAGAAUGUGCUAAGGUAUUUUGAAAAUUGUCUAACAGCAAAUGUUUACUUAGCUGGAAAACAUACACUUAAUUACAAAGCACGCUGUUUCAGCAA